rnacentral:rRNA from 1 species
AACGCUAGCUACAGGCUUAACACAUGCAAGUCGAGGGGCAGCAUUUCAGUUUGCUUGCAAACUGGAGAUGGCGACCGGCGCACGGGUGAGUAACACGUAUCCAACCUGCCGAUAACUCGGGGAUAGCCUUUCGAAAGAAAGAUUAAUACCCGAUGGUAUAAUCAGACCGCAUGGUCUUGUUAUUAAAGAAUUUCGGUUAUCGAUGGGGAUGCGUUCCAUUAGGCAGUUGGUGAGGUAACGGCUCACCAAACCUUCGAUGGAUAGGGGUUCUGAGAGGAAGGUCCCCCACAUUGGAACUGAGACACGGUCCAAACUCCUACGGGAGGCAGCAGUGAGGAAUAUUGGUCAAUGGACGAAGGUCUGAACCAGCCAAGUAGCGUGAAGGAUGACUGCCCUAUGGGUUGUAAACUUCUUUUAUAUGGGAAUAAAGUUCUCCACGUGUGGAGUUUUGUAUGUACCAUUAUGAAUAAGCAUCGGCUAACUCCGUGCCAGCAGCCGCGGUAAUACGGAGGAUGCGAGCGUUAUCCGGAUUUAUUGGGUUUAAAGGGAGCGUAGGUGGACUGGUAAGUCAGUUGUGAAAGUUUGCGGCUCAACCGUAAAAUUGCAGUUGAUACUGUCAGUCUUGAGUACAGUAGAGGUGGGCGGAAUUCGUGGUGUAGCGGUGAAAUGCUUAGAUAUCACGAAGAACUCCGAUUG